UUACAUGAGCAUCGUUCGUUGUUGGGGAACUAGUCAGCCUUCUCGAGUAGGACUAAGGGGUUUCUGGACCUGAGGUUUAAGCAACGUGUAGCAGCAGGGGGUGCCGCGGAAGAUUGGAGAGGCUCUGAGUGGUUCUUUCGAGUUUCCCUCAUUACCCAAAGGGCUGACGGAGAGAGUGGGACGCUGCGGCACCAUGCUCCAUCCCCUGGCUGUGUUCGUGCUGGUCCUCAACGUGUCCAUCACCGUCUUCUACUGGCUGUUCAUCCUGACUGAGGCCUUCAAGCAGAGGAAAGCGGAGGACCAACAGCCUGCAUAAAAGGUCUUUUGCAAGAAAGUGGAAGAUGACCCGGAACCCGUGGUCCCCAUCACAGCAUGAAUAAGCACCCAUACCUGGCUCCUUCCUGCAGGGGGCUUGCUUCAAGUCAAAAGGACCUAACCACAGCAAGAUAGAGCAGAGAGGUGG